rnacentral:tRNA from 1 species
GCCGCCGUAGCUCAACUGGUCGAGCGCGUGAUUUGUAAUCUCGAGGUUGUGGGUUCGAGUCCCACCGGCGGCU